UCAAUCAGAUGGUUUUAAUUCAUUCAUCGCAGGAUAAUUAGAAUUAGGUGGACUGAAUCAGAAUCUCAGAACAAAGUGUAAUAUUUGCUCCCAUGGAUUUCUCAGAGUUUAAGUAGUUUCUGCACUCGAGCCAACACCAUUUCUAAGGUGGAGUUUCCUUACAGGAAAACAGAAAGAGAAGAGUUCCACAGUUUCAAACAUCUUAUGAACUUGUGUUUAACUCAGACAUAUUUCAGAGCCACCCAGAAACACGCCACCACGUGAACCAUUCUUUAGCUGAAAAAACAGCGGGGACUCAAUGCACCCAACCCCCCUUCCGACUCCCCGUACCCCCUCCAUGGUGGCUGUUUGACUCAUCUCCCCUCGACGUCACCCCAACAUGGAAGUGGACUUGAUUUUUUUAAAAAAAUAUGUUGAAGUAUAACUUACAUACAUUCUUUCAGCGAGAAGGGAAUUGAAACAGGCCAGAAACCUGCAUCUGUCUGAAAAUGGAAGCACACUGGAAGACGACGAAAUUAAGGGAGAAUGAAAUUCUUUAUCUUUCAUGUUACCUGGUCGAAAAGACAGCAGUUUGUUUAAAGCAAUAGCAGUAACAUCGUAUUGGGAAUCAGUGUGUGUGGAUAAAGAAAAUUAAUGACAGGAGGCAGAUACUGAGCGUCAUUUGCUCUGAGAUUCAGAGACUGUUUGUGAAGUAGGAAAGGGGUAUUUGAGGAUGGACUUGGGGUCACUGAGAAUUCACACUGCAAAUUCUAAACAACACCUAAAAUGUUUAUUAAGAAAACAUAAAGAAUGUUCUAAGAGAGGAGAGAAAACAAACCCAUAAAGUGCUCAAUUAAAGCCACAGAAGGCAGAUAAGGUAGAAGAGAAAAAGAGAAACAAAAUACAGGCACAAUGAAUAGAAAAUAGUUGCAAACACAGCAGAUGUUAAUCCAACUAUAUCAUUUAUUUCUUUAGUUGUGAAUGGCCUAAAUAUACCAAUUAAAAUAUAGAGACUUUAAGAGUGGAUAAUAAAAUUAGUCUCAACUAUAUGCUAUCUAUGAGAAAUCUACUUUAAAAGAUAAACGUUCACGGAUUAAAAGUCAAGGGCUAGAGAAAGACAUGCUCACAGCACCACUAACCAAAAGAAAGCUGGAUUAGCUACAAAUUUAGAAGACAAAAACUUCACAAGAAAAAUUGCUGAGGAUAAAUAAGGAUAUUAAAUCAUGAUAAAAGAGGUAGUUUCCAAGAAGACAUAACAAUCCUUAAAAUGAAUGCACAUAACAGCAGAGCAGCAAAAUAUUUGAGGCAAAAACUGAUCAAAUCCCAUGGAGAAACAGACCCACUACUAUAGCUGUAGACUCCAACACCCCUCAUUCAGUAACGGAGAGACCAGCAAGACAGAAGAUCAGAAAGGUUAUGUUGGACCCGCCCCAAACUACCAACCAACCUGCUCUAACUGGCAUUUAUUGAAUAUCCCAACCAGUAAGAGCAGACCAUACUCUCAACUCACCCAGAACAGUCACCAAAAUAAAGCACAUUUCGGCAGAAAGACACGACUGAACUUUUUCAUAUACAGAAGAAUCCUGGUACCUACCUUUGCAUUGCACAAAGUGACCCACUAAGCCGUAAUUCCCCUCAAAACACAUAAAUUCACCACCACAAAUCUGAACUCACAAUCUUCACAUGCUCCAGCCGGGGCAUCAGAGGAGACUCCGGGAUAAAGCACGAGUCUCCGGGCAUCGCCGUCAAGUCCCUUGUUCACCUCUGAUGCACCGUCAAGCCGCCUCUGCUGGGGUCCAACCUCAAGCUUCAAGGGGGAAAGGAAGCAGCUGGAAACGUACGUGGCUCUUAAGUCGAAACGUGAUCCUUCCUCUGUCUUCUCUUGAUGAAUUUCCUUCCGGGCGAUUUUAAACUUUAGUAGAGUUAUAUUUACCAUAUUCAUCCAACCAUUCGGGACACUUGUGUUUGUUUCAUAAGCCCUGAGGGAAACAAAACCAUGGCCUCUGAUCUGCAAGAGUCCAAUGACCUUUAUUACAAGUUAAAUUAAGAAUUUCACAGCAAAGUAAUAAUGACAUGUCAUCCAAACAUUAUAAACUUGAAAAAGGUUCUCUUAAUACAUGUAAAUGAAGGUACAAAGCUUAUUCCUGACACACGGUGUGCAUGCACUUUCAACGCGAAGCAGCUGCAGCAGGCAUUUCUGGACCCAGCUUACACCAGCCUUAAAUACCCAGAGGUCAGCGGGCCCACUAACGGCAGUGAGGACUGACGGACGCCACCGCUCAGGUGAGCCGGUUCUUCAGCAGCGCCUGCGCACAGGUGUACUGCUGGAGUCGGUGGGAAUGAAGGCCUCCUUGGCCUGUGUCCAGGUAGGCUGACGAUGGAGGAACUGACCGCUGGCCUCAGGCCAAGGUCACCCAGGUCUGUUGUGAAAGGCUUCCCUCUGCCUGGACUUGAGGGCUUGGGUGCCUGGCCAGCCCAGUGCACCUGCAGUGUCCCUGAGCUGCAGCCACGCGCCCAGUGUUAGACGGCUGCCGCCUGUGGGAACGGCACUUAAAUGUGCAGAUAAACGGCCAGAAGAACCUGGGGCGAGGCCGGACGGUACUCCUUACACCUGUGCUGUGAGGCGCUGCCCUGGGCGCGUCGGCUGGGUGUGUGUGUGGGGCGUGACCUGUGCCAGGGUAGCUGCCUGGCCGCGUUGGACACUGUGGCCGAGGCUGCCAAGCGGGCAGAGGGGCUGCUCCGGCUUCUGCACUUCCUUCAGCAUUGUUAUCUUUCCACUUCUAACAGGUCCUGCCUGAGGAGGCGCCUUCAACCGUCAUGGACACCUGUCAUUCCGCUUCGCCUACCUUCUGAUGCACGUUUUCAUCAGAGAGCUCCCGAAAGGCAGGUUUGACAGCUCGUCGAGAUUUGCAGUGUAGACAGACUUGGUCUUUUUGUGUGUGAAAACACCAGCGCCCUCUCCACUGUCUGCACACAAACACACUUCAAACGUAAUUCUCCAGGAGGACAGAACCCUCCCUUGUUGAGGAGUAACUGUGUUAUCACCCAACCGCUCCCUGAGAGCUGCUGACGGAUCCAUCGGUUUUGAUAAGUUUCCAUUUAGGAGUUUUACCUCCAUCUUCAUUCCAGUUCGCAUAAAACAUAAAGGGCCAUCGCAGGCCAGCACAGCAUCCUGUCUGUCCUGCUCUGGAGCCAGCCAUCGUCAGGUGCCACCUCCUGCUGUGAAGCCGCAGGGGCUGCAUACAACACGCUCUCAGACCACAAGGGCGCGAAACUGGAAACCGGCACCAAGGACCCUGGACACCCUGAAACGCCUGAGACUGCGCGGGUCAGGCAGUGCCCACCUCCGCCCCACCGAGUUCAUGCCUACCUGGAGCCUGCGACAGCGCGCUUGCAAGCAGCCUCCUACCGAUCUCAUCCAGCCAAGCCUACCCAUUUCUGCUGCUCUUGUAAAAAGGGGGAACUGUGGACUCAGACACAGAGAGGGAGAUGGCCACGUGCGGACAGAGGCAGAAGCUUGAGCUACGUACGCUGCAACAAACCAGAGAGCCUCAAAGACGGGCAGCAGCCGCUAGGAGCCAGAGGAUCGAGGAAAGGCUCUGAUUGACAGCCUUGCAAGAAAGCACUGCAACGGGACACCGAACGUCUGAGCCUCUGGUACAUUAAGAAAAUAAACUCCUCAAACCAGCAGCUUGAGAUGGUCUGUGAAAGAGCUCUAGGAAACUAACGCAGAGAUUAAAGGACACUCUUCUAAGUAACAUACAGGUCAAGGAAGUCUCAAUGAAAAUUAAGAAAUAUCUUGAACUAAACUAAAAACAGAAUAUAAUCAGAGUUCCCAUUGUGGCACAGUGGGUUAAGGAUCCAAUUGCAGUGGUGCAAGUCGCUGCGGAGGCAUGGGUUUGAACCCCCGCCCAGCGCAGUGGGUUAAGGGUCCAGCAUUGCUACAGCUAUGGUAUAGUUCACAGCUGUGGCUUGGAUUCAACCCCUGGUCGGGGAAUUUCCAUUUGCCAUGGGUGCAGCCAAAAAAAAAAAAAAAAAAAAAAAUAGAAUAUUAUUUGUCAAAAUUAGUGUGGUGCAGCAAAAGCAACAAUUAGAGGAAAAUGUACUGCAUUAAACAUAUUUGAAAUGAAGAUCUAAAGUCAAUAAAAACAAUAAUUCCAUGUUAGAAAACUAGAGAAAAAAGAGUGAAUUAAGCUUAAAGCAAGCAGAAGAAAAUAAAUCAUAAAAAUUAGAGGUGAAAUUGAAAACAGGAAAGCAAUAGAGAAAAAUCACUAAGACAAUUUUCUAAAAGAUCAAAAGUAAAUUAACAAAUUUCUGACCUACGAAAAAGAGAGCAAGCGAAGACACAAAUUACCAAUAUCAUAUUUGAAAGCGGGAUCAUGGCCACUGAUCCAUGGACAACACAAAGCUGAGGAAGAAAUCCCAGGACAACUCCAGGCCCACACAUUUUAUAACAGAUGAAAGGGACCAACUCCUUGGAAGAUACAAGCUACUAAACCCAACCCAGGAGAAAGGUGGUCUGCACGCUCCUACAGCUACGGUCUGAAUCAAUGGUCAAUAAAUUUCCAAGACCAGACAGGCCCAGAGGGUCUCAGCGGCGAAUUCCACCAACGGUUUCAGGAAGGAUUUAUCCAGUCCUCCACAUUCUGUUCCAGAAAACAGCACAAGAGAGACUCUUUCCUUACACACUCUGAUAAUGCCAACAUCUUCCUAAUACCCAAAGAAGACAUAAAAAAGCAAGAAAUGAAAACUACAAACCAGUGUCGCCCAUAACUACAGCUGCAAAUAUCCUAAUUUUUUAACAAAUCGAAUCUAACAUUAUAUGAAAAGAAGAUCCAGCCGAGACAAGUGUGAUUUAUUUCAAUUUUGCAAGGCUGAUUCAACAUUCAAAAGUCAGUCAGUACAGUCCAUCAGCAACUUAAACAAAUUAAAGAAGAAAAAUUAUCUUUUUCAGUGAAUGUUAAAUGCACCCCUAUGUUCACUGCAAUACUAUUCACAAUAGCCAAGACAUGAAAACAACCUAAACGUCCAUCAACAGAUGAAUGGACUAAGAAGAUGUAGUACAUAUAUACAAUGGAAUACUACUUGGCCAUAAAAAAGAACAAACUAAUGCCAUUUGCAGCACUAUGGAUGGAACUAGAGAUUCUCAUACUAAGUGAAGUCAGCCAGAAAGAAAAAGACAAAUACCAUACGAUAUCACUUAUCUAUGGAAUCUAAAACACGGAACAGACGAUCCUACCUAAAAAAACCAGAAGCAAAUCAUAGCCAAGGAGAGCAGACCUGGGGUUCCUAGGGGGAAGGGGGAGGAGUGGGGUGGAUGGGCAUUUUGGGGGUUUUUGGAUGCAAAUCGUUGUAUCUGGAAUAGAUGGGCAAUGGGCCCUGCGGAACAGUACAGGGAACUGUGUGUGACUGGGUCACGUUGCUGGGCAACAGAACUUGAUGAAACAGUGUAAAUCAACUCUACCUUAAUAAAAUAAAAAAGAAGUAUAUGAUUAUAUGCUUCAAGUACACGAUGACAUUUACCAAUUUUGAUCAAAUACUGGACAAAAAAGGAAGAUCUCAACUAAUUUCAAAAAAACUGAAAUCAUGCACAGCAUAGAUUUUUUUAACCAAAGUGGAAUGAAUUAACAUUUAAUAACAAAACAGUAACUUGGAACUCCUAAAUGUUUGCAAAUUUAACAACAGAGUUCCAAACAACCCACAGCUUAUAAAGAAAACAUAAUAAUGUAAUUUCUAUUAAGAAAUUACUAAGAAAUUAGGUGGUAAUUACUGUGUUAAAAAGUAAUUACUUAAUUAUUAAGGAAUUAAGUAGUAACUCAUUAAGAAAUUAGGUAGUAAUUACUGCGCUAAAAAAUAAAUUUAUAAUCUACUAGUAAAAAUUUAUAGUCCAAAAAUUUAUUUUAGGAAAGAUAAACAACAAAACCCUAUCAUAAACAAAUUUUAAAGGAAAAAAGAACGAAUUAAACUUAAAAACACAGCAAAAAGAAGAGAUUUUUAAAGUCAGAGCUGAUAUUGUGAAACAUCACAAUAUUGGCAGCUACAAAGUCAGAACCUGUUGGUCUGAAAAGACUAACAAUGACAGGAAGAAAGUAAAACCUCGGAAACACAGAAUGAGAGGAAAAGAAAGAAGGACAAAAUUACCACUAGCAGGAAGGAAAAACAAAUGUCUAGAGAAGGAAAGUGUUGCAGACAAUUUGCGGCAACAAAUCUGAAUCGUCAGACAACACAUCUGAUUGAAAUGGACACUCUUCAGGGUUUGGACCCACAUGCGUCUGUAUCUCCCGCAGACCUUGUUUCCUCGCUACAGCAACAUCGUUCCCACCGGCUCCGGGGCGACAGUCCCAGGGAGGAAGGGGCCCGCAUCUCGUGGCGGAGUUCUGUCACCCCAGGUCGCUGCCCUGGCGGCUGCUCUUCACUGCCCGACAAAUGUUUAUUGGGUCUCCGCUGAGUCAGGCUCUGGGGCAGAAUCAGAAAUAAAAGGAACGCCACCUUUCUCAUUGUUAUCAUGAAAAGUUUGAAGAGUCUAGUACCAUAUUUUAAAGUUACGUAUUUGCUGUGUCUCUACAUUUAUGCUAAAU
ensembl:lncRNA